CCUACGGGAGGCUGCAGUGGGGAAUAUUGGGCAAUGGGCGCAAGCCUGACCCAGCAACGCCGCGUGAAGGAAGAAGGCUCUCGGGUUGUAAACUUCUUUUCUCAGGGACGAAGCAAGUGACGGUAGCUGAGGAAUAAGCCACGGCUAACUACGUGCCAGCAGCCGCGGGAAUACGUAGGUGGCAAGCGUUAUCCGGAUUUCCUGGGUGUAAAGGGCGUGUAGGCGGGGACGCAAGUCAGAUGUGAAAACCACGGGCUCAACCUGUGGCCUGCAUUUGAAACUGGGUGUCUUGAGUACGGGAGAGGCAGACGGAAUGCGUGGUGUAGCGGUGAAAUGCGUAGAUAUUAGGAGGAACACCGGUGGCGAAGGCGGUCUGCUGGACAGCAACUGACGCUGAGGCGCGAAAGCGUGGGGAGCAAACAGGAUUAGAUACCCGAGUAGUC
rnacentral:rRNA from 1 species